rnacentral:rRNA from 1 species
GACAGAGGAGGCAAGCGUUUUUCGGAUUUACUGGGCGUAAAGGGCGCGUAGGCGGCGCGUAAAGUCGGACAUGAAAUCAUUGGGCUUAACCCAAUGGCUGUGCCCGAUACUUGCGUGCUUAGAGUGCGGGAGAGGCAAUCGGAAUUCUCGGUGUAGCGGUGAAAUGCGUAGAUAUCGAGAGGAACUCCAGUGACGAAGGUGGGUUGCUGGACCGACACUGACGCUGAGGCGCGAAAGCUAGGGGAGCAAACGGG